AGAGUUUGAUCCUGGCUCAGGACGAACGCUGGCGGCGUGCCUAACACAUGCAAGUCGAACGGAACUGUUUUGAAAGAUUUCUUCGGAAUGAAUUUGAUUUAGUUUAGUGGCGGACGGGUGAGUAACGCGUGAGUAACCUGCCUUCAAGAGGGGGAUAACAUUCUGAAAAGGAUGCUAAUACCGCAUGACAUAUCGGAACCACAUGGUUCUGAUAUCAAAGAUUUUAUCGCUUGAAGAUGGACUCGCGUCCGAUUAGUUAGUUGGUGAGGUAACGGCUCACCAAGACCGCGAUCGGUAGCCGGACUGAGAGGUUGAACGGCCACAUUGGGACUGAGACACGGCCCAGACUCCUACGGGAGGCAGCAGUGGGGGAUAUUGCGCAAUGGGGGCAACCCUGACGCAGCAACGCCGCGUGAAGGAUGAAGGUUUUCGGAUUGUAAACUUCUUUUAUUAAGGACGAAAAAUGACGGUACUUAAUGAAUAAGCUCCGGCUAACUACGUGCCAGCAGCCGCGGUAAUACGUAGGGAGCAAGCGUUGUCCGGAUUUACUGGGUGUAAAGGGUGCGUAGGCGGCUUUGCAAGUCAGAUGUGAAAUCUAUGGGCUCAACCCAUAAACUGCAUUUGAAACUGUAGAGCUUGAGUGAAGUAGAGGCAGGCGGAAUUCCCCGUGUAGCGGUGAAAUGCGUAGAGAUGGGGAGGAACACCAGUGGCGAAGGCGGCCUGCUGGGCUUUAACUGACGCUGAGGCACGAAAGCGUGGGUAGCAAACAGGAUUAGAUACCCUGGUAGUCCACGCUGUAAACG
rnacentral:rRNA from 1 species